CCUACGGGAGGCAGCAGUGAGGAAUAUUGGUCAAUGGGCGCGAGCCUGAACCAGCCAAGUCGCGUGAGGGAAGAAGGUCCUAUGGAUUGUAAACCUCUUUUGUCGGGGAGCAAAAGAGGCCACGCGUGGCGGUCCGAGAGUACCCGAAGAAAAAGCAGCGGCUAACUCCGGGCCAGCAGCCGCGGUAAUACGGAGGAAGCGGGCGUUCUCCGGAUUUAGUGGGUUUACAGGGGGCGCAGGCGGAAGAUCAAGUCAUCGGUAAAAUGGAGAGGCUCAACCUCUUCGAGCCGUUGAAACUGGUUUUCUUGAGUGCGCGAGAAGUAUGCGGCAUGCGUGGUGUAGCGG
rnacentral:rRNA from 1 species